GUACUUCAGAAUUAACCCUACACCAUUUCUUUUUCCAUCUACACCAUGAUAAAACAGUUUAAACACCACCAAUGUUCCUGGCGUUACUCCUUUUCCCUCCCAGGUUGUUGAAGAUGGUGACGGAGGUGAGGUGUGUUGAGGGUGGUGAGGGUUGAGAUGUGAAGAACUUGCAGGAUGUGCAGUCAAAACAUUAGUAGCUACAUUUACAUUGCAAACACACAUGACUCGACUUUAUGAAAAGAAGAAACCAAUAGCUGUGGCUUUUAUUACAUAAAAUCUUGAUAUGUAAUUAUAGCUGUGUAAUAUCUGUGUACAUUUGUGUAUUUUUUUGUUCAUUUGAUUUGUCAGUAACUGGAAGGCUAAAAUGUGUGAAAAGAUUUUGAGGUUGGCUUGACAGAGUCCCCUAAACAAUAAAGGAGGGUGUUUCUAGGUGGUUGCUUUACAGUUCCAGCUGGUUGAUUGGGUGAUGUUUAGUGGUUUGUAUGAUAUUCCUGACAGCUGCUGGGUGAUUUGAUAUUCCACAUGUUGGUUGAUAUGUUUCUCUGUGGUCCUACCCAUCGGAAUCUAAAGCAGUCGUUUUUUGUUUUGCAUCUGAGAGGAGGAAUUUACUAUUCAGAGCAGAAGCAAAUGCUGGUGGUGGUGGAUUGUUGUGUUGUUGGUGCAGUGUGUCUCAGGUGAUUGUUGUGUUGUUGGUGCAGUGUGUCUCAGGUGAUUCAUCGCCACUUCAAGAUCUUGCGAUUUCUGUAGACAACUCGCAGAUCCCACCUCCGGUCCCUAACUUGGGGUUGCUCAGGUGCUUGUUUGGUCCCUGGUCAUCUCGAGACUGGACGACUACAACUCACUCCUGUAAGCUCUGCCUCUGAGGGACAUUCGACCUCUGCAACUGAUCCAGAAUGCAGCUGCACAAACGUAUUUUUAACUUUUCCAUUUUCUGCCACACCACCACAUUGCUACGAUUCCUCUGCUGGCUUUCUCUAGCUGCCCACAUUAGUUUGAAAACAUUAAAGCUUUCUUACAAAGCCCAAAAUAGACCAGCACAUCUCUGUAUUUAUCUUGCCCCAAACUGCACCACUGGCCACACCAUUUCUCUGGGUACAGGGAAAAAAUGCUUCAAGACUUUUCUGUUCUGGCACUGAGGUGGUGGAACAAAAAUCCAUUUGAUGUCCAAAUCUCAAGUCUCUUGCAGCCUUCAAACAACGUCUAAAGACCAACAUUUGGCUAUUCUAAGUAUUUUCAGUAUAUAGCAUCAGAGUUUUUUAGACUGAUAGUAUUAUUUAUUUAUGUCUUAAUAAACCAGUAUCCGGAUGUAUUCACUGAUAGACACGUGAAAGUAAGUAACUCUGGAUAAGGAUGUCUGCCAAACUCCGUAAAUAAAAGUGUUUUUAUAAAUAUGCCUGGAAUUCACCUUUAAAUGAGUUUUCAAGACCAUGGGUUGAGGAUGGCUAUCUUCACAUACAAAAGAUCCUCAGGUAGAGACUUUGAAGAAGCUUGAGGAUGCAGACGCUCCAGUUGUUCAUCAAAGUUUUAGGAUCAGCUUCAAAAGACUGUUUUUUUGGCAAGAAAAUCACAGCCUGGACAAUGUUCAUGAGCUCGGGUUGUGUUUUUCCGGAGAAAGUAAUGAUGAAGAGAGGGAACCGUUGCUCACUGCUUCAGUUGAACAUGAACAACAGAAGAUUUCAGUGCAGUGUGUCGACGACCCAGAGCCUAUGAAGCCCAUGGUGCAUUAUGAAGAUGAGACCUUCCCAAUGUACCAUCAUCCACCAGUGGAAGCUGAAGGAGAAAACCUGAAGUCAAAAUUUUUACUUCUGAAUAAAGUUUAAUAAUAAAAAUGUAGUCUUAAGACUGGUUGAAACAAACAAACAUACUGUACAUUGUGCAUACACUGGCAUUCCUGUCAUUUCAUCAGGGAUGUGAAUGCAAAGGGCCACAGCAUCAUUACUUACCCAAAUCAUUACUCAACUGCAGAGAUGGCAAAUGUACACACAUCCUUCACUCAAAUAGAAGUACAGAUACUCGUGUUUUAAAAGACUCUGGUCAAAGUUCUGACUACACUUUUUUUACUCAAGUUAAAGUAAAAAAGUUUGGGCUCUGACAUGUAGUUCAGUAAAAUGUAGUCAUUAUUACUACGCGUUAUGGUGUCAUGUUGGUAACUGAACCUCACAUCAUAUUAAUAUAUAAUAGAAAAUAAAUUCAAAUGUUUUUAUCUAAUGAAUGUAUUCAGGCUGAACAACAUAGCAGAGAAAAGAUGAUGAUGAUCAGGUGAUCAGGAAUGUCUCUGUUAUCAGUCAUGUUUAUAUCGCUGACACCCUCUGUCUCAUCCACGUCAACCCCAUACUUCUUGUUGCCUUCUGCCACGCUCGUUGUUAGAUUUGUAAACUUGUCUACAUCUAUGGUGCGUGUGAGCCAGUAAAUUAUAAUCCAGUGGUAGAUUGAAAAAGCCACGCAAUGACAAGAAACGUGUUAAAAACGGCACGCAAUGAGAAGAAAAAAUAUUGAUGAUGUCACUAAAUAGAUUAAAACUAAGGUAACGAGUCUGGUUUGAAAAUGUAAGAAGUAGAAAGUACAGAUGUUUGUGUAACAUAUGUAUCGAGUGAAAGUAAAACGUUGUCAGAAAAUAAAUAAUGAAGAAAGCAUUGAUACCAGAGAAAUCUACUUAAAAAAACGAUUAGAAAAUUCCCAAAAUUUUUACACCAAGACAUGCUUUACCCAGGACAAGUGUGGGAAAUUGGCAUAGCUGUUUUUAAAUAAAACACCAUGCACAUCAAAAAAAUCAAUAAAAUGGAAAUAAAAUAAAAAUGUAAAAAGUAAUUUUUUUUCUGUGCAGCCCAGUACUAGUCCACAGCCUGGUGUAUGGGGCCUGGUUUAUGCCUGGUGUAUGUGGACCCCUGAUUUAACAAAUCACAAUUUAAUUUUUGCAUAAUGAAAAGCCUGAUAGUGGUAUAGAAAUGAACCCUAUUGAUCCUAGAUAACUGGCAAACAUUUCCUGUGCACCAUAAAAAAAAAAAAAAAAAAACCUAAUUGACAGAGUCAUUCUUAAGAGAACUGACAGAUUUUAUUUGCAAGACUGAACAGUGUUUCCAAAAUACAUGUGGAAUAAACAACUUUUGUUUCAAAAUGCAUAGAACACAAUUUAUAUGAAUCGUUUUGCACAAGUGACUGAAAAAAUACUGACUUGUAAACUAAUGAUCUAAGAAAAGAGGGAUACACGUCUAAUGUGUUCAUUAGGGCUGUAAAAAAAAUACACAUUCGAUUCCUUCCAAAAAGUUAAAUGUGUUAAAUUAAACACAUGAAUUUCUUUCUGAAGAAUUUCUGAAAAUCUUAAUAGAUUAGUGUAAAUUUGGGUUAAAAUUGUAGGUGAAUGAAUUCCAAUGAUUUAUUUCAUUACACUAAUCCGCCGUCCGGGAAAAAUCCGGUCUAAAAAUAACCUCUUGUACCCAGAGCUGAUAUUGUUGAGUAAAAUUUAAUUCCAUGUACAAUUAUUACAUAAAAGAUAUAAUCAAUCAUUGUAUCGCAUGCUAAUAAACAUGAUAUACAAUAAAGCACAUAGAGGGGACUUCUUUACAGAAAACAUAAUUUUUCUUGUUUGAAUUUUUUAUUUUAUUCUAUUUUUGAAGUUUUCUAUUUGUAUUGGUUUAAAUAAGAUUUUCAGCCCGUGGUGGUAUCAACAUUUCACAGCUCAAUAUCCAACCUAUUAUAUGUAGAUAGAAAGGAUUUAAAAUGGUUCCCAGGAUAGAGAGUCAUGAAGAGAGCAUUAGUAAAUCACAUGUAACUUUUUAAAAAUUGUGAUGGAUGGGCUCAACCACCGUUAUUGUAUUUAACUGGAAAGAAUGUAGGCAUUUAAAGAUAAUGGUGGCAGAUGAGGGAAUGAUUGAAAAAAAAGUUGAGCAUUACACAGAGGGCAGAAGAAGGUAUAUAAAGUCCUUGUGUUGACUGUUUUUGGGUGUUUUGAUGGAAUUGCCUGGUUUUAUUUCUGCUAAAUAAAGGCUUCUUCUUUGACACCACAACCCUGGACACUCUCCAUCACUUCAUCUAACUCACUCCAGAAUUUUUCUUUCUCCUCUAACUCACAGCCUAUUUGUGGAGCAUAAGCACUGAU